GCACCGAUAGUUUAGGGGUAGAAUUGAAGCUUCCCAUGCAUGCAAUGUCUGCUUCAGGCGCGGGUUCGAGUCCCGCUCGGUGCA
rnacentral:tRNA from 1 species